rnacentral:rRNA from 1 species
UACGUAGGGCGCAAGCGUUAUCCGGAAUUAUUGGGCGUAAAGAGCUCGUAGGCGGCUCAGUAAGUCAGGUGUGAAAACUCCAGGCUCAACCUGGAGACGCCACCUGAUACUGCUGUGGCUAGAGUCCGGUAGGGGAGCAUGGAAUUCCUGGUGUAGCGGUGAAAUGCGCAGAUAUCAGGAGGAACACCAGUGGCGAAGGCGGUGCUCUGGGCCGGAACUGACGCUGAGGAGCGAAAGCGUGGGGAGCAAACAGG